GUCGCCCCCGCCAAGCCAACACCAGCACAGGCUUGAAUUAAUGUGUUGCUAUUUUUGGGAGCCCCGUGUUUCCAGGGGAGACCUAAUGACGCAAUGACGUCAAUGCGGGUCAAUCGCAGACUGGAGGAAUUGAGUGGCUUCCAUUUGGAGCUUUUGCAGUAUUUCCUACAGAAAGGACGGAAACCAGUGCAAAAAUUGAAGUGUAUUUCCUCCCGAAACAAAAAUUAACACGGAAUAGAAAAGAAAAGGAAAAAAGCCUUGAAAAUAGGAAUUUAAAGUGAAAAUGCUGAAGUGAAAAUGAUCCCGGUGCCAUCACGUCGCCCCAAUCCUUCGAGCAUCUGCGAUAGUAAAGGAGCCCCGACCUAUUCCAAGCUCUCGCAACCAGACGCACAGAGACGCUGGUCCAAUGAGUCGAUGAUGAUGGUGGUUAUGAUUCAUCAG